rnacentral:rRNA from 1 species
GUGGCUUACCAAGGCUUUGACGGGUAGCCGGCCUGAGAGGGUGACCGGCCACAUUGGGACUGAGAUACGGCCCAGACUCCUACGGGAGGCAGCAGUGGGGAAUAUUGCACAAUGGGCGGAAGCCUGAUGCAGCAACGCCGCGUGCGGGAUGACGGCCUUCGGGUUGUAAACCGCUUUCGCCUGUGACGAAGCGUGAGUGACGGUAAUGGGUAAAGAAGCACCGGCUAACUACGUGCCAGCAGCCGCGGUGAUACGUAGGGUGCGAGCGUUGUCCGGAUUUAUUGGGCGUAAAGGGCUCGUAGGUGGUUGAUCGCGUCGGAAGUGUAAUCUUGGGGCUUAACCCUGAGCGUGCUUUCGAUACGGGUUGACUUGAGGAAGGUAGGGGAGAAUGGAAUUCCUGGUGGAGCGGUGGAAUGCGCAGAUAUCAGGAGGAACACCAGUGGCGAAGGCGGUUCUCUGGGCCUUUCCUGACGCUGAGGAGCGAAAGCGUGGGGAGCGAACAGGCUUAGAUACCCUGGUAGUCCACGCUGUAAACGGUGGGUACUAGGUGUGGGGUCCAUUCCACGGGUUCCGUGCCGUAGCUAACGCUUUAAGUACCCCGCCUGGGGAGUACGG